rnacentral:rRNA from 1 species
AUGAACGCUGGCGGCGUGCCUAAUACAUGCCAGUCGAGCGAACAGACGAGGAGCUUGCUCCUCUGACGUUAGCGGCGGACGGGUGAGUAACACGUGGAUAACCUACCUAUAAGACUGGGAUAACUUCGGGAAACCGGAGCUAAUACCGGAUAAUAUAUUGAACCGCAUGGUUCAAUAGUGAAAGACGGUUUUGCUGUCACUUAUAGAUGGAUCCGCGCCGCAUUAGCUAGUUGGUAAGGUAACGGCUUACCAAGGCAACGAUGCGUAGCCGACCUGAGAGGGUGAUCGGCCACACGGGAACUGAGACACGGUCCAGACUCCUACGGGAGGCAGCAGUAGGGAAUCUUCCGCAAUGGGCGAAAGCUUGACGGAGCAACGCCGCGUGAGUGAUGAAGGUCUUCGGAUCGUAAAACUCUGUUAUUAGGGAAGAACAAAUGUGUAAGUAACUAUGCACGUCUUGACGGUACCUAAUCAGAAAGCCACGGCUAACUACGUG